rnacentral:rRNA from 1 species
UACGUAGGUGGCAAGCGUUAUCCGGAUUUAUUGGGCGUAAAGGGAACGCAGGCGGUCUUUUAAGUCUGAUGUGAAAGCCUUCGGCUUAACCGGAGUAGUGCAUUGGAAACUGGGAGACUUGAGUGCAGAAGAGGAGAGUGGAAUUCCAUGUGUAGCGGUGAAAUGCGUAGAUAUAUGGAGGAACACCGGUGGCGAAAGCGGCUCUCUGGCCUGUAACUGACACUGAGGCUCGAAAGCGUGGGGAGCAAACAGG